UUUGGUCUCCACCACCCAUUUUCCUUUGCUCAUACCACUUUCUCUUCCCCUUCCUUUGUCAUUUUUAUUCUUUCUGCUUUUCCUCUCCACAUUGCCUCACUGUCUGAUUCCCUCUCUUCGCAGACCUCUCCCUUUUCCUCUGUACUGUUUGCCUUCUCACCUCCAUUCUUCCCCAAUUUUUCUUCUCUUCCUCCAUUGUUUCUUCUCCCCAUCUUCAUUCCACUCGCAUUUUCCAGCUUAUUCCUAUGGUUCCCACUUCCUCCCCCAUCAUUUUCAUCCACAUCCUCCUCCAUUCUCAUUCCCAGGAUGAGAAGAGGACCCCCUCCCCCUCCGACUAGGCCAAUCACAACCUGGAAAGAGGCUCCAUUACACUAGCCCAUGUGGCUGACUGAGCAUGCUUUGUUCUCUUCUCCCCCUUCCCCAAGCUUUGCAGUGGAGAUGACUUAUUCUCAUUGCUGACUGGUGCUCUGGUAGAGAGGAACUGCAGCUAGUGGCUAGGAAGGAGGUCUGGAAUCCUGCUACAAAAGCACGGUAGAGAAGCACUGCUACCUUUCAGUGCCCAUGGGGAGCUACAGAAGGUAAAAAAGAAGUCCUGGCUACUACUCUUCCUGCAGCUGCUCCUGUUAGAAAGCUGAUCCCUUCCAAGAGGUAGCUGCCAGUAACUCUUACAAUUGCAGAGGAUGAAGAGAGGUCAUACCACCAUUCCCAGAGUGAAAAGCAGUCAAUCUUUAACCAAGACCAUAGAUCCUAAGGGGGGACCAACCCGGAAGGGAGGAAUUGGAAGAGUGUUGACCUAUCUGGACCCCUAAGACUGACGGAUGAUUUCUGAAAUUGAUUGCAUCAUUUACAUCUUUACCGAAUGCCUAAUACAGAUAAAGAGGAUGUAUUUAUAUAUUUGUAUCAUAGUGAAAUAAUAGAAAUAGAAAACAAUAUUACAAAGCCAGAAUCAGUAUGUUUGGAUGAAACCAUCCCUUUUCUCAACAUUAUAAAACAACCCUGUAUAUUUUUGUCCUGUACACUCAGUGGAUUCAAAAUCCCCCAAAAGGCACAUCUUAUGUUUGUAUUGUACCUGCAGGUUGGCUGGGUGGAGAAAUGCUCCAAAUAAAAUGUG